GAUGAACGCUGGCGGCGUGCCUAAUACAUGCAAGUCGAGCGAACAGACGAGGAGCUUGCUCCUCUGACGUUAGCGGCGGACGGGUGAGUAACACGUGGAUAACCUACCUAUAAGACUGGGAUAACUUCGGGAAACCGGAGCUAAUACCGGAUAAUAUAUUGAACCGCAUGGUUCAAUAGUUAAAGACGGUUUUGCUGUCACUUAUAGAUGGAUCCGCGCCGCAUUAGCUAGUUGGUAAGGUAACGGCUUACCAAGGCAACGAUGCGUAGCCGACGUGAGAGGGGAGCCGCCCACAGGGGAAGGGAAGCCGGGGCAUGCCACAUGGGGGGGGCCGAGGUGGGGGUGCGUCCGAAUGGGGCGAAAGCGGGACGGAGAAGCGCGGGGGGAUUGAAGACGCUCUCAGAUUCUUAAAACUCUUUUAUGAGGGAAAAACAAAUUGGUAAGAAACUAUGCCCGUUUGGACGGAACAUAAUAAGAAAGCCCCGCCUACCUCCGGG
rnacentral:rRNA from 1 species